CACGUAGGGUGCGAGCGUUGUCCGGAAUUAUUGGGCGUAAAGAGCUCGUAGGCGGUCUGUCGCGUCUGCUGUGAAAACUCGGGGCUUAACCCCGGGCCUGCAGUGGGUACGGGCAGACUAGAGUGCGGUAGGGGAGACUGGAAUUCCUGGUGUAGCGGUGAAAUGCGCAGAUAUCUGGAGGAACACCGGUGGCGAAGGCGGCAUCCUGGACCCGACAUUGACGCUGAGGCGCGAAAGCCAGGGGAGCAAGCAGGG
rnacentral:rRNA from 1 species